UGUGAGCGUAUACCAAAGUUGUUGCAGUUAAAACGCUCGUAGUCGGAAUUUGGCAGUUCCGGAUGUGUGCACGUCGUGUGCGCGCUUCGCGGGGAUUGCUUUUGUGGUCUUGCGUAGGAUGAGGCACUUUUAUUAGUGAACGUCCUCACGCAACCACUUUUUACUGUGAGAAAAUCAGAGUGCUCAAAGCAGGCAUUUGCCGUGAAUGUAUUAGCAUGGAAUAAUAGAAUAGGACUUGGUUCUAUUUUGUUGGUUUGUUGGGACUGAGUAAUGAUUAAGAGGGACAGUUGGGGGCAUUUGUAUUUCGGCGCUAGAGGUGAAAUUCUUAGAUUGCCGAAAGACAAACUGCUGCGAAAGCGUCUGCCAAGGAUGUUUUCAUUGA
rnacentral:rRNA from 1 species